rnacentral:rRNA from 1 species
UACGUAGGCAGCAAGCGUUGUUCGGAGUUACUGGGCGUAAAGGGUGUGUAGGCGGUCCUCUAAGUUUGGUGUGAAAUCUCCCGGCUCAACUGGGAGGGUGCGCCGAAGACUGGAGGGCUAGAGUGCGGGAUGGGAGAGUGGAAUUCCUGGUGUAGCGGUGAAAUGCGUAGAUAUCAGGAGGAACACCUGUGGUGUAGACGGCUCUCUGGACCGCAACUGACGCUGAGACACGAAAGCGUGGGUAGCAAACAGG